rnacentral:lncRNA from 1 species
UGCAACAUCUGACCACAGCUCUGCAUAGCCGCUGAUUCCAAAAGGACUUUGGCCCCAUCCAGCCCCAGACACUCAGUCGCAUGCUUACAGGCAGGAUUCAGCUGCGAAGGACUUCAAAGGCGUCUUCACUUUCCGCGACCUAGACUAGGUCAUCCUCAGCUCAUACCUGCAUAGACCUCUCCACUUGGCGGCUACCGUCAGGACAGAGAGCUGAGGGUAAGAGAGGAUAAGUCAGGGGUUCUGUUGCUGCGAUGACACACCAUGACCAAAGAGCAAGUUAGGGAGGUAAGAAGUUAUUCAGUUUAGACUUCAAGAUUACAGUCAGUCACUGGAGGAAGUCAGCACAGGAACGCAAGCAGAGCUGGAACCUGGAGGCAGGAGCUGAUGCAGAGCCCAUGGAGGGUUGGUGCUUACUGGCCUCCUACACAUGGCUUGCUCAGCUUGUUUUCUUUCUCUUAAAAAAAAAUAUUUUUUACACUCCAUAUUCCAUUUCCCACCUUCCAUCUACCCUCUGACUGCUCCACAUCCCAUACCUCCUCCCCAACCCCUGUCUCCAUGUGGAUGCCCCCCAUUCCCCCACCCCAGCUGACCUGUAAACU